ACCCACUCAGAUGUAUAGAAAGAAUCAUAUCUUUUGUGCUGUGGACUUCAAGGAUAACGAUUUAUUUUUUUCAGACAAAGGACGGGUGCGCUUUGGUUAACUUUGCCUAGGUGGCAAUUGUGCGGCUCAUUCACUAUGAGUUUGAAUCGAUAUUUAAGCAAUGACCAGAUCACUGGUCUCUCGACUGUGUACCUGGUAUCUCUGUCUAUAAGUUUGAUUGGGAGUUUUUCAGUGCUGGUGGUUUCCAUUGUAAAGAGGAGCCACCUACAAGAACAGGUGGGUGGAUGAGAGAAAGAGUAUCUUUGACUGUGUGUGUGCGUGCGUGCCUGUACCUUUUUGUGUGUG